GACGAACGCUGGCGGCGUGCUUAACACAUGCAAGUCGAACGGAAAGGCCCUGCUUGCAGGGUACUCGAGUGGCGAACGGGUGAGUAACACGUGGGUGAUCUGCCCUGCACUUCGGGAUAAGCCUGGGAAACUGGGUCUAAUACCGGAUAGGAGCCAUUUUUAGUGUGAUGGUUGGAAAGUUUUUUCGGUGUAGGAUGAGCUCGCGGCCUAUCAGCUUGUUGGUGGGGUAAUGGCCUACCAAGGCGGCGACGGGUAGCCGGCCUGAGAGGGUGGACGGCCACAUUGGGACUGAGAUACGGCCCAGACUCCUACGAGAGGCAGCAGUGGGGAAUACUGCACGAUGGGCGCAAGCCUGAUGCAGCGACGCCGCGUGGGGGAUGACGGCCUUCGGGUUGUAAACUCCUUUCGCUAGGGACGAAGCUUUUUGUGACGGUACCUAGAUAAGAAGCACCGGCUAACUACGUG
rnacentral:rRNA from 1 species